rnacentral:rRNA from 1 species
AUUGAACGCUGGCGGCAGGCCUAACACAUGCAAGUCGAACGAGUGGCGGACGGGUGAGUAAUGUCUGGGAAACUGCCCGAUGGAGGGGGAGAAAUACUUGAAAAGGUAGCUUAUACCGCAUACUAUCGUAUGUGCCCAGGUGGGAUUAGCUAGUGGGUGGGUUAAUGGCUCACCUAGGCGACGAUCCCUAGCGGGUCUGAGAGGAUGACCAGCCACACUGGAACUGAGACACGGUCCAGACUCCGAAGGGAGGAAGAAGUGGGGAAUAUUGGACAAGGGGCGCAAGCCUGAUGCAGCCAUGCCGCGUGUAUGAAGAAGGCCUUCGGGUUGUAAAGUACUUUCGUCGGGGAGGCGUUACCCGCAGAAGAAGCACCGGCUAACUACGUGCCAGCAGCCGCGGUAAUUC